UACGUAGGGUGCGAGCGUUAAUCGGAAUUACUGGGCGUAAAGCGUGCGCAGGCGGUUCGUUGUGUCGGCGGUGAAAUCCCCGGGCUUAACCUGGGAACUGCGCUUGUAACUGAGAGGCUAGAGUGUGGCAGAGGGGGGUGGAAUUCCACGUGUAGCAGUGAAAUGCGUAGAUAUGUGGAGGAACACCGAUGGCGAAGGCAGCCCCCUGGGCUAACACUGACGCUCAUGCACGAAAGCGUGGGGAGCAAACAGG
rnacentral:rRNA from 1 species